UUGGUGGUGGUGGUUGCGGGCUGGUGUGGCGCGGCCGUAGUGACAGCCGCAGCGCCGCCCACGGCACCCGCUGUCACUGUUUCCACCGCCACCGCCGGCUGCUGCAGCCGGCGCAGCAGGUAGGCCUCCUGCUCGGAAGGAGUCAGGAAGUCCCAUUCCCAGUACGGCACUAGUAGGACGCCGCCCUCCUUAAACGCCCGCCGCAGCUGCCGAAUGCGAAUGGCCGUACCCCCUUCCACAGCAGCGCUGGGGUCUUGCUGCUGCGUUUGUGUCAAGAGGUAACGUUUCGGUCCGAGGAACUCCACCGCCGCCUGCUGCCCGUCACUCAGCCGCACCACCGCAUCCACUGGCGCCAACACUCCUGGCGCGACAACGCCCGUCUGAAGGGACUGAACGGCUAGGCCCCCUGCUGCCUUGAGGCCCUGCUGCUCAAGCCGCCGCAGCGCUGCAACGACCUGCUUUUGAGUAUCUGAUGUGGGCUUGGCGUCUUCCCUCUCAGUAGUCACCGCCGCUGCCAUCGCCGCCUGCAGUCCGCUGCCGCUGCCCAGGGCCGCCGCCACCUCGCCGCCUAGCUCCUGCUGCGCCUGCCACAGCUGUUUGAGAUGCUCAGUUGUAAGACCCUCCCAACGGCUUACUGCUUCACGGGCCAGCUGAAUGGAUAGCUGCUUCAUGUCGGGAGAAUACGUGCCUCCGAACACAGCCAUGGCCCACAGGCUGUUGCAUACGUGCUGGUGCAGGACUGUGUCAGAGUCAUGCUGCAGCAGCUCGCCCAGCCGACCGCACACCGCCGCCUCCAAGCCAGCGUGCCGCAGCUGCAGCACCGCCAGCGCGUACAGCGUAUUGGCACAGUUCUGACCACCGGCACUACUGGCGCGCAUGGCUGCUACUGCUGCGCCCGAGUCAAGCAGCUCCGCCGGCGGCUGGUGGCGCAUCAACGCAAGCGCGUACAGCAGAUUGGACCAGGCCUGAGAUGUUGCGCGGGCCAUGGCGCCCGACUGCGUUGCUGCGUCCACCGCUGCUGAAACCCACUGCCGCUGCUCGGCCGGCGCCUCCGGGCCCGCCCCAAAUCCCAUCUUGGCUAGGGCCCACGCUGAGUUGCUGAGGUCCUGAGCGAUGUACCCGUCAAACCCCCGCCGCACGUCCUCUGCGGCCACUGCCACCACCAGCUCUGCCUGCUCGCUGCAUAGCUGCAGCCCCUCCAGCGCCAGCAGGAUGUUGGAUAGCUGUUGCGGGAUAAAUGCUGCAGCGAGCUCCGGUUUCCGGAGCCGCUGCAGUGCCUCCCCGCACAGCGCCUCAACUGCUGACCGGUACUCUGGUCCUGUGCACCCCAGAGCUUUGAGAGCCCAUAGGCUGUUUGAAACAUCUUGCGGCUUGAAGCCGUGGCCCGCCACCGUUCUCAAGCGAGAAGCCACAGCUGCCGCCAAGGUCUGCAAGUGUGGCGAUGAGGUGGGGUCCCAGCCUGAGCCCCGCUGCUGCUGGUCUUGCUUGAGCUUGCCGAGCGCGUACAUGACAAUUGCGAGGUUCUGAGGUUCCGCCUUCCCAAGAACCUCAGGAUCCACUAGCCGCUCCAGCAGAGCUGCUGCAAGCUGAGCCUCCGUGCCGCCGCCGACCAAUCCAGCUUUGCCCAGCGCCCACAGCGGAAUGCUGCAGUUCUUUGCGUUGCGGAUGCGCGGCACGAGCGGCAGGUAGGCCGGCGCAAGCAUGCCGAUAAUGCUGCUGCGUGCUACAGCCGUUUGGCUUGCUCCAGCGCGCGACUCCAGCUGCGUUCAAAGCAGUUAUGAGGGACAUACAUGGGGUCAAGUGCUAUAUGCAUGUGUUUGUGCGUGUGCGUGAACAGGUGCGCAUGCAAGUCCUGUGUGGCCAUCUGCGUCGUGAGAACCGGAAGUCCGGGCCGAGAACGACAACAAUGGACUCGCCCUCCAUUCUGCACUUCAUUUCUGUGCCCAUUCCCACCUGCACGUAUUAGUCCUCCCUCUCACCUUGCCGCACAGGUUGAACGCCGCACACAUGGUAAUGAAGUCUUUUCGGCCCUCCCACACUGAUAGCCGCUGGCUGAUGAUUGCUUGCAGCUCCUCCAGAGUCCGACACACGGUCAUGUCAUCCGCGGGGUCACGCCCGCUGCCCCUGCUUCUGCCGCUGGCGCGGCUGCCAUCGCCUGCCCUGCCUCCGCCGCUUCCCCUACCCNNNNNNNNNNNNNNNNNNNNNNNNNNNNNNNNNNNNNNNNNNNNNNNNNNNNNNNNNNNNNNNNNNNNNNNNNNNNNNNNNNNNNNNNNNNNNNNNNNNNGAGAAUAACGCAAGGAACGAAAGGUCAGGUGCGUGUAGGUCGCUGGGCCAAAGCCGCCUGAGUAGCUGUGGCUUGGUAUGGAUGAUAAAGCAACUGAAUCAAUUUGCCACCGGUGUUGAGGCGAGGGCGACCUGACCGCGAAAUACACGGCCCGAGGGCACGCCCCGUAUCAACACCCCUCGCGACCUCCAAACACGUGCACUGAACCGCGAAGCCCUCCCCCAAGCCUAUCGCGGCUGCUAUUCCCAUGUCCUCCUCCCCAACCAUUCUGCAUACAGGCUCUGGCGUGAGUCCCUGCCCGCGUCAUUUGACACCCGUCGACCACGACUGAGGUGCAACGCAUGUCGCUUACAAAUCCAACAUCCCGCCCGACACGAGAGGGGCAGAAACGGCGGGGCAGACGGCCAGCCUCUUGAACAUGAGCAUAGCAGUGCAAUAUCGCACAUUGGGUCCCCGCCUGCUUCACCUGGCCACCUUUGCUGAUUUGUCUGACAUCCCUGUCUACACACUUUUAUCCGCCCACGCUUGAGACGUCCUCCUCAGCGCGCAGGCUUCACGGUACCAACCGUGCGGUAUCAUCGCUACAUGAUGAGUGCACUGCCCCAACCAUUGAAGCAUCACAAGGUGCUUGCCUGCCGCCGCCGCCGCUGAUACGUACACGAUUGCUGCCACACAACCAACACAUCACACCCAACAAUCACAACAACAAAACAACUGAGACCCGCCGCCGUGCAACGCACACUGUACACGCCCCAGGGCCGAGAACACAACGCAACACAAGCACCUGACAUGCCUCAUCCAGGCAUGCGUCACUCAAUCGCCCACCGAGCCGACCUCGCACACGCCGUUCGUGAGCCCCUGCGGCUGACAUGCCCGGCCCUGCCCCCUUGGCACCGCAGCCCUGCCGCCUUGGCACCGCCGCCCAUUGCCCCACCCCCAUGCUGCGUGCCAUGUAAGAAUAAAGCCAGGUCCCCAUCAAGCCGCAGCAUAUAUCCCCGCCAAGCCACCAGACUCCUCUUGCCGCACGCUACCAACCACCACCAGCACAGGACCGGCACCUGCCUGUCCCCCUGUUUAGUUUGGGCUGAUAUUUACAACCCCCCACCCUCCCCUCCCCACCUUCCCCAUUGCCAACCUCGCCCACCGCGCCGACAUGCACGCCGGCACCUCGCUCGUGCCUCUCGAGGCCUCCCAUCUUCCGUAGCUAGAGAUCCCUGUCCACGAGUAUCCACUUGGGCUCCAGCCCACUCCUGAUGCACACGCCGGCAUUACCCAGGUCUGCAUGGUUUGCAUGCCUGCCUGUCUACCGUGCACGCACACCUGCCUAGCUACGCAGACCUACUACCGUCCUUUUUGACCCGCCUCCGCCGCCACCGCCGCCGUCUCCUCCCUCUGGCCGCCGUGCCGGCCGCGCCAGCAGCUGCUGUUGUGGGUUGCCGCCAGAGCCGCCGCCGCCCUUGUUGCUGUUGGUGGUGGUGGUUGCGGGCUGGUGUGGCGCGGCCGUAGUGACAGCCGCAGCGCCGCCCACGGCACCCGCUGUCACUGUUUCCACCGCCACCGCCGGCUGCUGCAGCCGGCGCAGCAGGUAGGCCUCCUGCUCGGAAGGAGUCAGGAAGUCCCAUUCCCAGUACGGCACUAGUAGGACGCCGCCCUCCUUAAACGCCCGCCGCAGCUGCCGAAUGCGAAUGGCCGUACCCCCUUCCACAGCAGCGCUGGGGUCUUGCUGCUGCGUUUGUGUCAAGAG
rnacentral:lncRNA from 1 species